rnacentral:rRNA from 1 species
UCGGUACCUCGCGAUUGUUCUAGGGUUAGAGUUUGAUCCUGGCUCAGGAUGAACGCUGGCGGCGUGCCUAACACAUGCAGUCGAGCGAUCUCUUCGGAGAGAGCGGCGGACGGGUGAGUAACGCGUGGGUAACCUGCCCUGUACACACGGAUAACAUACCGAAAGGUAUACUAAUACGGGAUAACAUACGAAAGUCGCAUGGCUUUUGUAUCAAAGCUCCGGCGGUACAGGAUGGACCCGCGUCUGAUUAGCUAGUUGGUAAGGUAAUGGCUUACCAAGGCAACGAUCAGUAGCCGACCUGAGAGGGUGAUCGGCCACACUGGAACUGAGACACGGUCCAGACUCCUACGGGAGGCAGCAGUGGGGAAUAUUGCACAAUGGGCGAAAGCCUGAUGCAGCAACGCCGCGUGAGCGAUGAGAGACGUUCGGGUCGUAAAGCUCUGUCCUCAAGGAAGAUAAUGACGGUACUUGGGGAGGAAGCCCCGGCUAACUACGUGCCAGCAGCCGCGGUAAUACGUAGGGGCUAGCGUUAUCCGGAAUUACUGGGCGUAAAGGUGCGUAGGUGGUUUUUUAAGUCAAAGUACAAGGCUACUGCUCAACUGUAGUAAGCUUUUGAAACUAGAGACUUGACUG